AGAAUCAACGCUGGCGGCGUGCCUAACACAUGCAAGUCGCACGAGAAAGGGACUUCGGUCCUGAGUACAGUGGCGCACGGGUGAGUAACACGUGAAUGAUCUACCUCCGAGUGGGGAAUAACCUAGAGAAAUCUGGGCUAAUACCGCAUAACACUUACGAGUCAAAGCAGCAAUGCGCUUGGAGAGGAGUUCGCGGCCGAUUAGCUAGUUGGCGGGGUAAUGGCCCACCAAGGCGAUGAUCGGUAUCCGGCCUGAGAGGGCGCACGGACACACUGGAACUGAAACACGGUCCAGACUCCUACGGGAGGCAGCAGUGGGGAAUUUUGCGCAAUGGGGGAAACCCUGACGCAGCAACGCCGCGUGGAGGAUGAAGCCCCUUGGGGUGUAAACUCCUUUCGAUCGGGAAGAUUAUGACGGUACCGAUAUAAGAAGCCCCGGCUAACUUCGCGCCAGCAGCCGC
rnacentral:rRNA from 1 species